rnacentral:rRNA from 1 species
AAUCUUGCGCAAUGGUGGGAACUCUGACGCAGCGACGCCGCGUGAGUGAUGAAGGACNNNGGAUANACAAGCUCUGUCCUUGGNGACNAAGAUUGCCUUUUAGGCGAUUUGACGGUACCUAUGGACGAAGCCCCGGCUAACUACGUGCCACCAGCCGGGAUAAUACGUAGGGGGCAAGCGUUGUCCGGAAUUAUUGGGCGUACAGGGUGCGUAGGCGGCCUUUUAAGUCAGGUUUGAAAGCCCACGGCUUAACCGUGAGAUUGCAUUUGAAACUGGAAGGCUUGAGUAUCGAAGAGGGUAGUGAAAUUCCCAGUGUAGCGGUGAAAUGCGUAGAUAUUGGGAGGAACACCAGUGGCGAAGGCGACUACCUGGGCGAUAACUGACGCUGAUGCACGAAAGCUAGGGGAGCAAACA